AUGGCUUACUCCCCCUCCACCCCCUCCCCCGGCGCCGCCUUCGCCGUCGGGUCCUUCCCAGGAGCAAUCUCCGAGGACAGCGUGUUCCCCAGACCCCCUCCGCCAACGCCUAAAGGCCACAUGCCGCUCCCCUUCAUCGCCGACGCCGAGCUCAAUGCUCUGUUCGACCGCAUGGUCCUCUCCCCGCCGGUUCCAGUCCUCCGCCUAGGCGCCCCCUCUCGCCUCAACAUCCGCUCGUCGGCGACUCCGCUGGUCUCGCUCGACUCCCCUGACUUGGCCUCCCUUCGCGCCGCCGGCGACGUGGGCUACUUCCAUCUCGUCGGCCAUGGCAUCCCUCCCCAGCUGCCAUCCUCUGCACUCGCCGAGCUGUCUCGCGUCGACGCGUCCGCUAUGCGCGCGUCCAUCCUUUCCACGCUCGGGUUCUCCGCGGAGAAUCAGGGAGUGGACGCCGGCGUCGAACCCGUCAUGGUGUUCGACGUCGACGAGCUGGGGAUGGACGCGCUCUCGGCGGCGCUGGAGUACGCGCGGCUGAUGAGGGAGGUGGGUAUGCAGGUGGUGGGGCUUUUCUCUGGGUCUGGUGGGGUGGGUUUCGGGGAGAAUCCGUUCGCGGAGGAGGGGGGAAGGAAGGCGAGGUGCCUGGUGUGGGUCUCCAAGGUCGGCUCGGGCGAGCCGGCGGUGCCUCCGGCCGCCGGCGACGCAAAGGCGUAUCCGUACGUCUUGGGACUCCAUUGCGAGUGGGAGCAGGGAGCCGGUGCGUCGAGCUGGGUGAUGGACGACAGCGGCGAGUGGAGGGCCGUAGGCGCCAGCGAGGGUGCACUCCUGGUCACCAUCGGUGACAUUGCUCAGGUGUGGAGCAAUGGCAAGCUGAAGAAAGUGAGAGGCAUGGCUCGCCCCACUCCUGCCCCCGGCAGCGACGGUGAAGAGGGCGGGGAGCCAGCCCGCCUGUCCAUCACCGUGCUGAUCACACUGCCCCUGGACAGCGUCGUCUCGCCGCUGCUGCCGCUCUCUGGUGCCGGUGAAGACGGCGGCGACGUGGAGAAGGAGGAGAAGGAGGAGGUCUCUGAAGACGGUGAUGAGGAUGGAGGCAGCUUUCGCCCCUUCUCCCUGGAGAGCUACGCGUGGGGGCUGUACCAUGAUCAGCUUGAGUCCAAGGAUCCGCUUGCCCCGUACCGCAUAUGA
rnacentral:rRNA from 1 species